GUCUACGGCCACACUACCCUGAACAAGCCCGAUCCUGUCUGAUCUCGGAAGCUAAGCAGGGUCAGGCCUGGUUAGUACUUGGAUGGGAGACCACCUAGGAAGACCAGGUGCUGUAGGCG
rnacentral:rRNA from 1 species